UACAGAGGAGCCAAGCGUUGUCCGGAUUGACUGGGCGUAAAGCGCACGCAGGCGGGUGCGCGCGUGGGGUGUGAAACCGGGUGGCUUAACUGCCCGUCGCCAUCCCAUACGGCGCGCCUGGAGCCAUCCAGAGGUCGGUGGAAUUGCCGGUGUAGUGGUGAAAUGCGUAGAUAUCGGAAGGAACACCAGUGGCGAAAGCGGCUUCCUGGUCCAGCACCGACGUCAGGCACGAAAGCGUGGGGAGCAAACAGG
rnacentral:rRNA from 1 species